GUUAGAAUUGCCAGAAUUUCUGAAAUUAAGGGCCAAGAGUAGGGGGUUCAAUAUACCGCAGGGGGGUCAAAAUACCAUGGCAAAGUAAAAUUUUCAAAAUAUCUUUUCCAUCAAGUUUAAUACAAACAAAGUACUUGUUGGUGUAUAUUAACUACAUAUAAGAGUUAAAAUUGCCAGAAUUAUUUGAAUUGUCUAGAGUAAGGGGUUCAAUAUAUCGCAG
rnacentral:lncRNA from 1 species